AAGAGACAGCAGUCGCCGCGGUAAUACGUAGGGUGCAAGCGUUAAUCGGAAUUACUGGGCGUAAAGCGUGCGCAGGCGGUUAUAUAAGUCAGAUGUGAAAUCCCCGGGCUCAACCUGGUAACUGCAUUUGAGACUGUAUGGCUAGAGUGUGUCAGAGGGGGGUAGAACUCCACGUGUAGCAGUGAAAUGCGUAGAUAUGUGGAGGAAUACCGAUGGCGAAGGCAGCCCCCUGGGAUAACACUGACGCUCAUGCACGAAAGCGUGGGGAGCAAACAGGAUUAGAUACCCGAGUAGUCCCUGUCUCUUAUAC
rnacentral:rRNA from 1 species